ACCAGUGAUCGAGGGAAACACCAUUGAAAUGCCGUAGUAUAGAGAGGAAGAGAGAUCUGGUAGAAUGGCGUAGUGAACAGGAACCAGUAAAUUUUUCUCAAGAACCAUUCCUCAAAUGCCGCUCCAAGGCCUUGUGCAAUGGAUGAUCAUCGAUGAAAUGAAGCUUGUCGAGGCCUCGUUUUAGACUUGUCACGUCGAAAGAAGAGAAGACAGAGGAAUUGUUCGAAAAACAAUUGGACGUGCUGUUGAUGUCAUGGAUCCACGGGAGUUCUCACAUCCAAAAAGCUGAAUAAGUCGGAUAAACCAAAAUGUCCACAACCCUGCAAUUGCUCUCACCAUGAAGGUUGAAGAACUGGAAUAUUAACGAGGUGAAUCUCUCACUGGUUUCUUACAUUCAAUAGUUUCAGUUAUGUGAUUAUAAUGCCUGAGACGAGUAUCUAAUUAACGCAAUUAAAAUACUUCCGUCUGUACAAUACAACGGUCACUCAAAACAAGAAAAAAAAAACUUUAUGAGGUUCUCUCUCUGCACAUACAAUCAUUUGCAAGCCAAAUAUUUUACUUUUUUCUUGACCUUAACAGGAAACGGAGGCCCAACAAUAUAACAAUGUUAUUGUGUCCCAGUGGAGACAGCCUUGAUAUCAGAAAACUCUACAGAGAUGAGCAAUGGCGGCCAAAACUGCAGCUACCAGAAGCCCCAUAUUGUUCUCAUAGCUAUUUCCUGCAUUAUGUGCUCGACCUUGGCGGUGAUGUGCUUGUGCUGAACCAGCUGCAUAAACAGGGAUCACGGCUGUACCUCCUCCUGUACGAGGUCUACUGCCACCAUUUUCCCCACCGCCGGCAGCGGCUGCACUUCCACUUCCACCUCCACCUCCACUUCCACUUCCACUUCCACUUCCACGACGAAUCACAUUAGAAACGGUGAUUGCACUUGAACUGUAUCUUCUGUUAAUCUGGUUAGUAACCCCAUAUUUACCAUGUUUUUUUGUGUAAGUUUUCUGUUGGUAAUUAGACUCUGCAUACAUAUAGAAUAGAACAUAUUUAAAGAAACGCACACUAUAAAUACACACGGCCAGGAAUCAUAUAUAUGUGUAAUUUUUUUUUUGUUAAAUUAUAUUUUUACAAAAAUAACGGUGGUUAAGAAGAUCACAAAUUUUUUCUGUAUAUUCGCAUGCGCACGUAUAUUUCCACUUCAUUAUAUUUGGGUUAUUAUAUUUCAACUCCAUUAUAUUUGAAACUUCAUACUUAAAUAACGUGUUUUUAGAAGGAAAUAUUUGCAAAUAUAUGCGUGAAGUAUUAGCAUAAAUAACAAAGUCUAUCAUUCAAAACCAUAUUGCAAAUAUUGGUUAGCACUGAUAGACUCACUUAAACUUGGCCACAUUUUCAAUUGUUUCAGAAUGUUGCUGUACAAUUGGUUAUCAUUAUAACUAUUCUUUUAAAAAGUUAAGUUCAGUUUUCUGAUAUUUCACGAAAAUAAGCUGUUUUAUGACGUAAAAUUCAUCCUAUUCAACUUUGUUCAAUGUUUUUAAACAAGUAGACCCUAUAUUUUUCUGUUUUGGAAACUCGUUUUCCAUUACCUCUCUAACCAAGUAGUUUCAAACUACAAUUUUAAUAUUAAUGUAUAUAUUCACUAAUUAAAUACAGCGAAUUAGGAGUAAGAAUAAGAAGAGCUUAUUGAAAAUGGGAAUAGGAAUAGGACAAGCUUAUUGAACAAGUUCCAAAAAAAAACACAUCUUUUUGCAACCAUAUAUGUAACUUGUAAGCAUCAUGCAUCAUAAAAUAAAUGAAAACUCAAUCAUUUGAUCACUUUGUUUUUAUUAAGUAUUACCAUUCAAAUAAAAGAAAACUAAAUUGGAGAUUAUGAAUAUUAUCUUGACUAAUUAGAGUAGUUGAUUAUUUGAUCACUUCUGUCAGUACUGAUUAGCAGCAUCUAAACUCGGAUUUGAUUUAAAAUAUUAUCUCCCAAAAGCUAAAGUUAUUGGAAAACCCUUACAUUGUUAUGGGCCUAUGGCCCCUCCAUUCACUGGAUAUUGAACUUUAUUCUAUUUACAUUAGAAAUCCCAAAGGACAUGUUAACCUGCAAUCCUCACUAACCUUUACUCUUCUAUUAAUCUUUUAUUCCUUUUUUUUUCACAUUACUAUUUUAUUCUGACUUCCAAUCAUGCAAUUUUGUCGUUAUACAUCUACACAUGUUAUCUGGAAUGCACUCUUUAUUUUAGCUUCUUGUCGGUUUCAUAAUUCAAUUUUGUCGUAUAUACUUUUUUUACCGAUUCUCUUUGUUGCUUGGUUGGCUUAAUGGAUUUACCUACCUAAACUUUUGAGCUAAUGGGUCACUUAUAUGAUAUCAAAAUUAUUUGUCACGGGGAAUUUUAGUAUUAUGAUGAUUCAAUUUUUCUAUCCUCAAGUUUAAGCUUUUGACAUGGACGAUUUCGUAGUUUACUUUCACGGCUUUUAAGAGAAGAGAACAAAGAGCUUAAAAGCAUCCAAGAGAAAAUUUGUGAUAAAACAAUAGAGAAUAAAACAAGGUGAAUUGAAUUUUCUCAAGAGAUUAGAAAGGAUACUGACCUGUUGCCGUUGGGAAGAUUUGUUGUUGGAGAGCAGCAGAUGAAAUGGCCAAGGUAGAACAAAACAAUUAGCAGAGCUAUGGCGAUUGGUUGGGAGAAUGGAGGGCAAUUGGUUGAAGUGGAAAUGACCAAGCUGAUUUACUGAAGUGGCCUCAAGUUUGAUGUCGAUAGUGCAAAUUCAUGGCAGUUGAUGGCAUGUGAAUAGGUAGGUACGCAAAUAAUUUGUUUGUGAUUGCCCAUGUGAUUUAGGUAGUACAGGAUCAUGCAAUCAGAAGUUGUGACGAUUGAUAUCUGGAUCGUGUUGCUGGAGGUCACAUUCCGGGUAAGUGAUGAUAUCUUCUUACCUCUUUCUCAAUCUGGUAUCCAAAGUUAAAGAAACCGUAGAUGACUAAUAAUUUUUAGAGAAUGAUAGGUUAACUCACGUAAAAAUAUUUAAAAUAUAAAUAAAUAAUAACAAAAACUUUCCUGGAAAGAAAUAUAUGAUGUGAAUAUGUUUUCAAAGUUUAAUUAUAGUAAAAUUUUACAGAUAACAAAAGAACAAAAAAACAUUAAAAUUGCAUAAUUAAAAGUAAAAAAAAAACUAAAAUUGAUCCAACUUUGAAAGUAUAUGGAACAAAAUAUUAUUUUAAUAAAUAAAUAAAUGUGGGAAAAUUCCUUGCAAUAGCUUCUAGUCUUCUAACACUCAUGCUCCUCAAUCCAAGCGUCAAUAGUACACGCCGGUCUCACAAUAUUAACUUUGUGACGACCGUAACUUGUAAAUUGCAUAAUAAAAGAUUCUAAAUACACAGGUGUAUUGCACAUUAUAUAAGGUUUGGAAUGUGUUUGGGUAUCAUAUAAAUCUACACAAAAGUGCAAUAGAGAUGGAAACACCAAUUAUUAUAAACUCUAUAUAGUUGUUAGGACGAUUUCCAAGGCUGUGGCUAUGCUUUCCAUGACGGCCUGAUGAAGCGCCAGCCACAUAUAUUGGGAUCACUCCCCUACCUCCCCCUCGACGUUCAACAAAUCUUGAAUUAUUGUGUUCUCUAACAGUUAUAUGCUGUUUAGAAUCUACAAAAUACAAACAUAAUUUUAAAAAGAAAUACAAACAUUAUCAUGGCUAUGAUAAUUCUCGCAUGGAUUUGAUAAAAAAAAAAAAGACACAUUAAUUUUU